UUUUCAGAUGUAUGGGGUCCUGCUCAGACUUCUGUCAGUGGUCAUAAUUACUAUAUCAGUUUCGUUGAUGCUUAUAGUCGCUUUACCUGGUUUUACCUUAUUAAACGCAAAUCUGAUGUGUUUGAUAUUUUUGUUCAGUUUCAAAAACAUGUUGAACGUCUUCUCAAGCACAAAAUUGUUCAUGUCCAGUCGGACUGGGGGGGCGAGUAUCGCAACCUCAACUCCUUCUUUCAGUCGCUUGGGAUAGCUCAUCGUUUAGCAUGUCCACAUACACAUCAGCAGAAUGGUUCAGUCGAACGUAAGCAUCGUCAUAUUGUUGAAGCU
rnacentral:rRNA from 1 species